rnacentral:rRNA from 1 species
GACGAACGCUGGCGGCGUGCUUAACACAUGCAAGUCGAACGGUGAGGCCCUGCUUUUGUGGGGUGCUCGAGUGGCGAGGGGGAGGGUAAAACGAGAGUAACCUACCCUUCCCUUUGGGUUAACUUAAGGACACUGGGGCUUAUCCCAGAUAGGAGAUCCUGCUGCAUGGUGGUGGUUGGUAAGUGUCAGAGGUUGGGUAUGGACGCGCGGCGGUUCAGCGUGUUGGAGGGGUAGUGGCGUACCAGGGCUUUGACGGGUAGCCGGCCUGAGCGGGUGACAGGCCAGACUGGGACUGAGAUACGGCGCAGCCGCCGGCGGGAGGGAGCAGUGGGGAAUAGUGCACUGUGGGCGGAAGCCGGAAGCAGCGACGCCGUGUGCGUGAUGACGGCCUUCGGCUUGUAAAGCACGUUCGCCUGGGUUGUAGCUUGGGUGACGGUAGUUGGUUAAGAAGCGCCGGCUAACUACGUG